CAAAAGGGGCGACCAGGAGCUUUUUCUUCAAGCCCUAAAUUCUUCAAAAUCUUACAAAUUGAAGGCCAAGAUCUGUCCCAAAUCGAAGUUAGAGCUAAGAUUAGUGAUCCUCACAGCAAGAGGGUUACAAGGAAAGGACGCAGGAGCGUCAAGCGGGCAAGCGAGUGGCGAACCACGUUUGAAGGGCCUACUUUGAAGUUCUAGGUACUCACGGAUUACGGAUGACGGUCAAGCAAACUUUGAAGAACCGAACACUACAUUUAGAAGCUUCCGCGAUGUUUUAAAUCUUUAGUAGACUUUGUGUAUGGGUUGUAAACACUUGUUAAACUACUUUUGAAAUGUUUUAACCUAGUCAUUAGUUGACUAAGGUUAACGUACUUUUGAA